AUGGCGGCCUCCUCCCCCUCCGCCCUCGCGCUCUCCACCACCACGCGGGUAGCUGGCUCGUCCGUGCUGCUUGCUGUGAGGCGGACGCCGGCGACGCGCGUGGCCGCCGUUCCCUCCGCCCAGCUCCGCGCGUGCUCCUGGGGGGCGCCGCUCCAUCUCCGGCCGGAGCUCGCCGCGGCCCCUGCCCCGUGCGCCGCCCGCUGCAGGGCGCCUCUGCUCCGGCCUCGCGCAUGGCUGUCGACGUCCCAGAUUGCCAGCUCCGCCUUCACCCUGGGCACCGUCGCCGUCCUCCCCUUCUACACGCUCAUGAUCGCCGCCCCCAACGCCAACAUCACUAAGCGCGCCGUGGAGAGCACCGCCCCCUACGUCGCCCUCGGCCUCCUCUACGCCUACCUGCUCUACCUCUCCUGGACCCCCGACACCAUCCGCGCCAUGUUCGCCAGCAAGUACUGGCUCCCGGAGUUGCCUGGCAUUGUGAGGAUGUUUGCGAGCGAGAUGACCGUCGCCUCCGCCUGGAUCCACCUCCUAGCCGUCGACCUCUUCGCCGCAAGGCAAGUGUACCAAGAUGGCAUCAAGAACAACAUCGAGACCAGGCAUUCGGUUUCGCUCUGCCUGCUCUUCUGCCCCAUCGGGAUCGCCGCUCACGCGCUCACUAAGGUACUGGCGGGUUCCACAGGUCGAUCACACUGA
rnacentral:rRNA from 1 species